rnacentral:rRNA from 1 species
AUUGAACGCUGGCAGCAUGCCUUACACAUGCAAGUCGAACGGUAACGCGGGGCGACCUGGCGACGAGUGGCGAACGGGUGAGUAAUGCAUCGGAACGUGCCCAGUAGUGGGGGAUAGCCCGGCGAAAGCCGGAUUAAUACCGCAUACGACCUACGGGUGAAAGCGGGGGACCGUAAGGCCUCGCGCUAUUGGAGCGGCCGAUGUCAGAUUAGGUUGUUGGUGGGGUAAAGGCCUACCAAGCCGACGAUCUGUAGCUGGUCUGAGAGGACGACCAGCCACACUGGGACUGAGACACGGCCUAGACUCCUACGGGAGGCAGCAGUGGGGAAUUUUGGACAAUGGGGGCAACCCUGAUCCAGCCAUGCCGCGUGCGGGAAGGAGGCCUUCGGGUUGUAAACCGCUUUUGUCAGGGAAGAAACGCUCUGGGCUAAUACCCUGGGGUAAUGACGGUACCUGAAGAAUGAGCACCGGCUAACUACGUGCCAGCAGCCGCCGUAA